rnacentral:rRNA from 1 species
AUGGCAACCGGUAGCGAAGCUGGAAAGCCCGUGGAGGUCGUGCUGGAGUGGCCUAAGCAGGACAAAAAGAGGAUGCUGCAUGCUGUUUACCGUGUGGGAGAUCUGGACCGCACCAUUAAGUGUUACACGGAAUGCUUUGGGAUGAAGCUGUUGAGGAAAAGAGAUGUUCCUGAAGAGAAGUACACCAAUGCGUUUCUUGGGUUUGGACCUGAGAACACUAAUUUUGCACUUGAGCUGACUUACAAUUAUGGUGUUGACAAGUAUGACAUUGGACCGGGCUUUGGACAUUUUGCCAUCGCAAAUGAGGAUGUGUACAAGCUGGCUGAGACAAUUAAAUCAUCUUCUUGUUGUAAGAUCACUCGUGAACCUGGUCCUGUCAAGGGAGGGUCCACUGUGAUUGCCUUUGCACAAGACCCAGAUGGUUACAUGUUUGAGCUUAUCCAGAGGGGUCCGACGCCUGAGCCUCUCUGUCAAGUUAUGCUUCGUGAUGGUGACCUUGAUCGGUCUAUCAUGUUCUACGGGAAGGCCCUUGGAUGA